rnacentral:lncRNA from 1 species
UCUUAUUAAUUAUGUAAGUCAUCUAAACGUUGGUAAAUGAAUAAUAUUUAAUAGCACGACAAAAUAAUAAAUUAUCUCUUCAUUUUUUGAAUUGUAUCAAUAAAGAUAAACAAAUAUUUUUAAUAUACUAGACAACUAAAGAUGCAUUGAGGGAAUUAAGUUUUUUGAUCUAAGAGGGGAGAGGCAUAAACUAUUGCCUUUUUUCCCAACUCUCAAGAAAUAUUCAAAACUAGAUGGCCCGUACUUGUGCUGAGCACGAGAUUAUGAUCAAUAUAAUUGUUUGUUCACUUUGCUGAUACACUACCAAAGAACGUCGCAAGCAGUUGAUUUAAGAGAUUACGUCGGUCUGUAAAUUCUUCAAUCCGAACUCCGAGCUUAAUUUGAAAAAACUACUUAACUUUUCUCCAUAAAGAAACCCAUUGCAUUGAUCGCAAGGUUAGUCUACCAGUAAUGAACCUAUUAGAAUGUAAUAUAUAGAUUCACACACAAGAAAUUUACCAAUUAAAAAAGUAUUCACUAGCUAAUGGCACCAAGUGGACCCAUCUUAAACUCGUUCAAGCAUAAGUUUAAGUAUUCUGUAUCCUUUCUUGUACGGCAACAUGACAUUUUCUCCCGAACUUAUCGAAAGAAAAAUUGUCUGUCAAGAAAGUAAAAUCCAAAUAUGUCAUAUAUGUGCUGUACAAUAUAUGUGCAAAGUAAAAGUGUAGAUCCUGGUUUAGAUGGACAGGUGGGCCUUAAAGAAGAGCUCGGAGAUUUGUUGCUUGCUUACCACGUUUAUCAUAGUAGCAGUCGGUAAUGUCUUUUUCACGAGAACACAUCUGAAGAAACAUAAAGAUUCACUUUUAAUUGAAACCUCCACAAUCAUUUUAGUUCACAUCUUUCUAACUCAUUUCUAG